ensembl:misc_RNA Metazoa_SRP Metazoan signal recognition particle RNA
GCUGGGUGUGGUGGCUCAUACCUGUAAUCUCAGUACUUGGGAGGCCAAGGCGGGAUGAUUGCUUGAGCCCAGGGGUUUGAGAUCAGACUGGGCAACAUGGUGAGACCCUGUCUCUACAAAAAAUUGUUUUAAAUUAGCUGGGCAUAGUGGUGGACACCUGUGGUCCCAGCCACUCGGGAGGCUGACUGAGGUGGAAAGAUCUCUUGAGCCCAGGGGUUUGAGGCUGCAGUGAGCCAUGAUCACACCACUGCACUCCAGCCUGGGCAACAGAGCAAGACCCUGUCUCA